rnacentral:rRNA from 1 species
UACGGGGGGAGCAAGCGUUGUUCGGAGUUACUGGGCGUAAAGGGCGUGUAGGCGGUUUGUUAAGUCUGGCGUGAAAGCUCUCGGCUAAACCGGGAGAGGUCGUUGGAUACUGGCAAACUUGAGGACGGUAGAGGCGUGUGGAAUUCCGGGUGUAGUGGUGAAAUGCGUAGAGAUCCGGAGGAACACCAGUGGCGAAGGCGACACGCUGGGCCGUACCUGACGCUAAAGCGCGACAGCAUGGGGAGCAAACGGG